UACGUAGGGUGCAAGCGUUAAUCGGAAUUACUGGGCGUAAAGCGUGCGCAGGCGGUGACGUCAGUCAGAUGUGAAAUCCCCGGGCUCAACCUGGGAACUGCAUUUGUGACUGCAUCGCUGGAGUGCGGCAGAGGGGGAUGGAAUUCCGCGUGUAGCAGUGAAAUGCGUAGAUAUCGGAAGGAACAUCAGUGGCGAAAGCGGCUUACUGGACCAGAACUGACGAUCAGGCACGAAAGCGUGGGGAGCAAACAGG
rnacentral:rRNA from 1 species